rnacentral:tRNA from 1 species
GGUAGUACCAGCUCAGUUGGUAGAGCAGUUGACUUUUAAUCAAUUGGUCGCAGGUUCGAAUCCUGCACGACCC